GACGAACGCUGGCGGCGUGCUUAACACAUGCAAGUCGAGCGGAGCGGCGAACGGGUGCGUAACGCGUGCGUAACUGCCCCCCUCUCUGGGAUAACAGUUGGAAACGGCUGCUAAUACCGGAUAGUGGGGGAUGACUCGCGUCCUAUCAGCUUGUUGGUGGGGUAGUGGCCUCCCAAGGGGACGACGGGUAGCCGGCCUGAGAGGGCGACCGGCCACAUUGGGCUGAGAGAGGGACCAAACUGCGACGGGAGGCAGCAGGGGGGAAUAUGGCACAAGGGGGGAAACCGUGAGGAAGAAACGCGCGUGCGGGAUGACGGCCUUCGGGUUGGAAACCGCUUUCAGCCAGGACGCGGUAGUGGCAGAAGAAGCACCGGCUAACUACGUGCCAGCAGCCGCGGUAAUAC
rnacentral:rRNA from 1 species